rnacentral:tRNA from 1 species
GCUUGGGUAGUUUAUUUAAAAUGUUGAUUUGUGGGGUCGACGAUGCAUUUUUUUUUUUGCCUCUGGCU